rnacentral:lncRNA from 1 species
UUUGUCCUUGCAGUAUCAAGGAGACAUCCUCUUAUUUCUUCUUAUGGACCCUCCGCGGGUUGUUCCCAUAACUUCCAGAUUGGAUAUGCUCAGCUACGGCUUUAAAGCGAUGAGGUCUUAAAUCUUCCCAGAAUUCAAUCCCAUUUCUGCCAUUUCUCUGUUCUUAAUCAUUUCUGAGAAUGGUUUUCCUAUUCCAACUAGGACCCUCUCAUAAAUGGAGCUUCUUGAAUAUGUAUGAAGGUCAUCAUCAUCUCAGUCUCUGUCAUGGAUGGGAUUACUUGAGCAGCCAGACGCCUCCAUCUUUGGGCAUACUCUUUGAAUGACUCAUUGACUUGCUUCUUGACUUUGGUAACUUGAUACCUUUAUAGAGCUAUUUGAGUUUGUAAGCUUUAUUGACUGAGAAAAGCAUGAGCUAACUCAUCCCAGGUGUG